rnacentral:lncRNA from 1 species
AAGACAACAAAACUCUUUUGCCCAAGGAGAAAUGGAGGAAGAGAAAACAUCCCGUCAUCUCUGUACUUGUGAUGCCUGAGAAGGAGCAAGUAUUUCACGAAUGUUUGUGGAGUAAAGAAAAAUUAUCAAGUCCUUUGAGAAAUGACUGCAGGAGAGGUAGGAGCAAUCGUUACUUUCUCCUGGGAGCCUGGAAGCUGCCUUGCCCCCACACUUCCCCUGUGUACUCCUCUUCACUUCUCACUGUGAAAAGGCAAAAUAAAAUGGAGAAGGAAAAGUGGAUGAGUGGAAGGUAA